rnacentral:rRNA from 1 species
AUGGCGAUGGAUUUCCCCGUCUCUCCGGUCGACAGGUUGCCCAUCUUUCCUGAUGAGGGCUGUAGCGCGACAGCCCUAAUGGAGUUGAUUGGUGGCGGUGGUCGUGGGGAAGAAGAGUCCGCCAAUGGAUCGGGCGGGGCGGUCGUAUGUGGAUUUGGGUUGAGCUCACCUGGGCAGUCCGUUGGUGCUGCUAUGUAUGGCGAGGAAACCAGUGUAGCUGCCUGCGCCCCUGCCAUGUCCGGUUUCAGUGAGAAUGAGGGUGACAACGCCGAUGCCAUUGAACACGGCGGCGUUGAAGGCCAUGACGCUGUGAUUCAAGAUCAAACAGAAAGUGGCGAUGGAGGCUCGGCUCAAUCUACGGGGAAGGUGGAUCCCCAAACACAUGGAUGGACAAAAAGAUGGAAGUGGGAGCGCCUCACGCAUUGCAAGUGCUGA